GACGAACGCUGGCGGCGUGCUUAACACAUGCAAGUCGAACGGAAAGGCCCCUUUGGGGGUACUCGAGUGGCGAACGGGUGAGUAACACGUGAGUAACCUGCCCUUGACUUCGGGAUAACUACAGGAAACUGGGGCUAAUACCGGAUAGGAAUCCUUGCUGCAUGGUGGGGGUUGGAAAGCUUCGGCGGUUUUGGAUGGACUCGCGGCCUAUCAGCUUGUUGGUGGGGUAGUGGCUUACCAAGGCUUUGGCGGGUAGCCGGCCUGAGAGGGCGACCGGCCACAUUGGGACUGAGAUACGGCCCAGACUCCUACGGGGGGCAGCAGUGGGGAAUAUUGCACCAUGGGCGGGAGCCUGAUGCAGCAACGCCGCGUGCGGGAUGACGGCCUUCGGGUUGUAAACCGCUUUCAGCAGGGGCGAAGCUUGUGGUGACGGUACCUGCAGAAGAAGCACCGGCUAACUACGUG
rnacentral:rRNA from 1 species